AAACGGCCUGUGGGGGGGAGGGGGGCUCCCCUCCCCGGGUCGGGCGCUCGGCUGGGGGCGCAGCACCUUGGAGAGAGGCGCCCGGGCCGGAGCCUGAUUCGGGGCGCCGUUCCUCGCGCUCGGGGGCCAGGGCGCGUGCCAGGCGGCCGCCCAGGGCCCUCCCGCCGGGUGCCGAGCCCCGAGCCGCGGCGAGCCGGCGCUGCGAGCCUCCUCCCCUCCCGCCUCGGGCGGCCUGAGCCCGCGCCCGCUCCAGUUGCUGCAGCUGCUGCCGCCGGCGGCUGCGGGGAGCGCGGGGAGCGCGGGGAGCGCGCCGGGAGGCUCGGGCGGCGGGGCCGGGGCCGGGAGGGGCCGGGAGGGGCCGGGAGGAGCCGGCGCAGGCGGGGAGGCCGCGCGAGCGGAGGCCGCGGGGCUCGGCGGCGCGGCGCGGGGGUCCCGGGGGUGGCCCGGCGCGUGCGGGGGCGGCGAGCCGGAGCCCAGCGCGGCCGGGGGCGCCGGGGGCGGGGGCGGGGGCGGGCCGCCCGCGCUGCACUAGUUGCCGCCGGCUCAGCCCGGGGCGGCGGGGGCGCGGCGGGGAGGGUCCCGGGCCGGAGCGCAGCGCACUCGCGUGGCGCACGGCGGGCGGGGGGCGCGGGGGGCGCGGGGGGCGCGCGGGCCCGGGGCAGGGGCAGGGGCAGGGGCAGGGGCAGGGGCAGGGCCGGGGCGGCCCGGGGGCGGCGCGGACCCCCGGUGCGCCCUCGCUCCGCGCGCUCGGGGCGUUGGGCGGCGGGGCGCGGGCCGGGCGGGAGCGGCGGGCGCGCUGCAUCCCCUCCCCCCGGGCGGCGGGGGAGGGCGGCGGCGGCGGCGGCGGGCGGCGGGCGGCGGGGGAGGGCGGCGGCGGCGGCGGCGGCGGCGUCCCGCCGUAUAUAUCUCGGCGCACCCCGCCAGGUCGCGCACAGCGCCCCGAGCCCAGGCGCCUCCCCGCCCCCUCCCCGCGCUCCGCGGCGGCGGCGGCGGCGGCAGCAGCGGCAACAUGGCUGUUGA
rnacentral:lncRNA from 1 species